rnacentral:rRNA from 1 species
AGAGCGAACGCUGGCGGCAGGCCUAAUACAUGCAAGUCGAACGGAUCCUUCGGGAUUAGUGGCGGACGGGUGAGUAACACGUGGGAACGUGCCUUUUGGUUCGGAACAACUCAGGGAAACUUGAGCUAAUACCGAAUGUGCCCUUCGGGGGAAAGAUUUAUCGCCAUUAGAGCGGCCCGCGCCUGAUUAGCUAGUUGGUGGGGUAAUGGCCCACCAAGGCUACGAUCAGUAGCUGGUCUGAGAGGAUGAUCAGCCACACUGGGACUGAGACACGGCCCAGACUCCUACGGGAGGCAGCAGUAGGGAAUCUUGCGCAAUGGGCGAAAGCCUGACGCAGCCAUGCCGCGUGAAUGAUGAAGGUCUUAGGAUUGUAAAAUUCUUUCAGCGGGACGAUAAUGACGGUACCCGCAGAAGAAGCCCGGCUAACUUCGUGCCAGCAGCCGC